rnacentral:rRNA from 1 species
UAGGGAAUCUUCGGCAAUGGGGGCAACCCUGACCGAGCAACGCCGCGUGAGUGAAGAAGGUUUUCGGAUCGUAAAGCUCUGUUGUAAGAGAAGAACGUGUGUGAGAGUGGAAAGUUCACACAGUGACGGUAACUUACCAGAAAGGGACGGCUAACUACGUGCCAGCAGCCGCGGUAAUACGUAGGUCCCGAGCGUUGUCCGGAUUUAUUGGGCGUAAAUCGAGCGCAGGCGGUUUAAUAAGUCUGAAGUUAAAGGCAGUGGCUUAACCAUUGUGCGCUUUGGAAACUGUUGAACUUGAGUGCAGAAGGGGAGAGUGGAGGUCCAUGUGUAGCGGUGAAAUGCGUAGAUAUAUGGAGGAACACCGGUGGCGAAAGCGGCUCUCUGGUCUGUAACUGACGCUGAGGCUCGAAAGCGUGGGGAGCAAACAGG